CAUGGCACUGCUGAAACUUCGAA
rnacentral:miRNA from 1 species